rnacentral:misc_RNA from 1 species
UUUCCGUAGGUGAACCUGCGGAAGGAUCAUUAGCACGUUGGUGUUGAAGUUGUGUUGGGAAGGUGUGGUGGGGUUGUGGGAUGACAAAUUGUUGAAUCUGUUAAGGAUGAUACGGUUUGCUUGUUCUGCACCCCCACACACCCACUGAAAACCCUUAUUCCUUUGAAUUGUCCUUGUGAUUCGAAUCUGUCGAGGGUAACCUCUACAACCAUACGAAACGCACAAACGACUCUGUACAAUGGAUAUCUUGGUUCUCGCAUCGAUGAAGAACGCAGC